rnacentral:rRNA from 1 species
GCUGGCGGCGUGCCUAAUACAUGCAAGUCGAGCGAACAGACGAGGAGCUUGCUCCUCUGACGUUAGCGGCGGACGGGUGAGUAACACGUGGAUAACCUACCUAUAAGACUGGGAUAACUUCGGGAAACCGGAGCUAAUACCGGAUAACAUGUUGAACCGCAUGGUUCAACAGUGAAAGACGAUCUUGCUGUCACUUAUAGAUGGAUCCGCGCCGCAUUAGCUAGUUGGUAAGGUAACNNCUUACCAAGGCAACGAUGCGUAGCCGACCUGAGAGGGUGAUCGGCCACACUGGAACUGAGACACGGUCCAGACUCCUACGGGAGGCAGCAGUAGGGAAUCUUCCGCAAUGGGCGAAAGCCUGACGGAGCAACGCCGCGUGAGUGAAGAAGGUCUUCGGAUCGUAAAACUCUGUUAUUAGGGAAGAACAAAUGUGUAAGUAACUAUGCACGUCUGA